rnacentral:rRNA from 1 species
UGCCUAAGGCAUGCAAGUCGAGCGAAUCCACCUUGAGGGUAACUGAAGGGUAGAUUAGCGGCGGACGGGUGAGGAAUACAUGGAUAACGUACCCCGGACUCAGGGAUAGCGUUGCGAAAGCGACGGUAAUACCUGAUGACCCCGUAGGAUCGCAUGAUCCCGCGGGCAAAGUUCAGGCGGUCUGGGAGCGGUUCAUGCCCUAUCAGCUCGUUGGCGGGGUGACGGCCCACCAAGGCUGCGACGGGUACCGGGCGUGAGAGCGCGACCCGGCACAUCGGAACUGAGACACGGUCCGGACACCUACGGGUGGCUGCAGCAACGAAUAUUCCGCAAUGGACGAAAGUCUGACGGAGCGACGCCGCGUGAGGAUGAAGUCCCUCGGGAUGUAAACUCC